rnacentral:lncRNA from 1 species
UUCCUGGUGUUCCAGGAAUCUGUCUGGAAAUGCUUUUAUGCUGGGGAGACAGAAAGGCUCACCCAAAAAAGAUUUGCAACUGAAGUAACUACCCACCCAGGCUUUUCUUCCCACCUCAGCUAUAUUUUUUUUGCUAAAUGUCAGUUUGCUUGUCAGCCUCCGGCGGGGUUUUGAUGUUAUUUCCUCACUUCUUUUCUGCAGGAUCCCUGUGUCAGAGAAGGAGAGAAAUGCCACAGCAUGACAGCUUCUGCUUCCUGGCCAGGGCUGUUUGUGUGAGCGGGGAGCUCUGGGAUGUAUGGGGGCUGGAGAGGCAGACAGACAUCACGUCUGCUGUCCGAGUUGGCGGUGGGAAAGGGAAGGAAAGGUGUGAGGACACUUGUCAUGCCUGAAAGUGGCAGCCACCAGAUUGAAAAGUAAAAUGUGCAAACGCGGUGUCCACACUCGGGUGGUUUCUCCUGGCACAAAGCAGGAGGAUGCUCCAGGGAUCUGGACACUUCUCACCUGCAGUCACACUCCAGCACUGGCUCCUCAGCUCCAGGCAUCUCGUGCUCUUCAGUGAUGAGUUGCUGAUUUUCUACACUGUUUGUGUCAGCCCAGCCUCAGACAGCCCCACCUGAGCAGCUCUUCCUUCUGACAGGCCACAGAGAAAUAAGAAAUGAUUGCCAAGCAUCCGGCACUGCUGGUGCUCAGCUCACUCCCAGGAUGCCAAGGGAAGGGAUGUGACCUACCUCCGUGGAAAUCAGUGGCUGUUGGUGGGCCAUGGAGUCAUCCUCAUUCUGGCAGCAGAGAAAGGAAAAAUCCCAGCAGUUGCAGGAUUUGCAUGGAGACACAAAGUGAACCCACAUCAGAGACCUGUGAAAUUCCUGCUCUCCUCCGACACCAUGUCAGAAUUUGUCUGGAAAGAUUUCCUUUCAGAGCACUUUGUUAUUUGCCACCUGCCUUAAGGACAGGGUCUGCAACCAGCCUGGCCUCCUCCCUGCCGUUCAGCUCUGAGCAUCGUUAG